rnacentral:rRNA from 1 species
UAUAUUGAUUGGCAUCAAUUGAUAUUGAAAACUCCGGUGGAUAGAGAUGGGCACGCGCAAGAUUAGAUAGUUGGUAGGGUAACGGCCUACCAAGUCAUUGAUCUUUAGGGGGCCUGAGAGGGUGAUCCCCCACACUGGUACUGAGACACGGACCAGACUCCUACGGGAGGCAGCAGUGAGGAAUAUUGGACAAUGGGUUAGCGCCUGAUCCAGCCAUCCCGCGUGAAGGACGACGGCCCUAUGGGUUGUAAACUUCUUUUGUAUAGGGAUAAACCUACUCUCGUGAGAGUAGCUGAAGGUACUAUACGAAUAAGCACCGGCUAACUCCGUGCCAGCAGCCGCGGUAAUACGGAGGGUGCAAGCGUUAUCCGGAUUUAUUGGGUUUAAAGGGUCCGUAGGCGGAUCUGUAAGUCAGUGGUGAAAUCUCACAGGCUUAACUGUGAAACUGCCAUUGAUACUGCAGUUCUUGAGUAAGGUAGAAGUGGCUGGAAUAAGUAGUGUAGCGGUGAAAUGCAUAGAUAUUACUUAGAAMMMCAAUUGCGAAGGCAGGUCACUAUGUCUUUACUNNGACGCUGAUGGACGAAAGCGUGGGGVAVSRAMMRGGAUUAGAUANNCCCUGGUAGUCCACGCCGUAAACGAUGCUAACUCGUUUUUGGGGUCUUCGGAUUCAGAGACUAAGCGAAAGUGAUAAGUUAGCCACCUGGGGAGUACGAACGCAAGUUUGAAACUCAAAGGAAUUGACGGGGGCCCGCACAAGCGGUGGAUUAUGUGGUUUAAUUCGAUGAUACGCGAGGAACCUUACCAAGGCUUAAAUGGGAAUUGACAGACGCAGAAAUGUGUUUUUCUUCGGACAAUUUUCAAGGUGCUGCAUGGUUGUCGUCAGCUCGUGCCGUGAGGUGUUAGGUUAAGUCCUGCAACGAGCGCAACCCCUGUCACUAGUUGCCAUCAUUAAGUUGGGGACUCUAGUGAGACUGCCUACGCAAGUAGAGAGGAAGGUGGGGAUGACGUCAAAUCAUCACGGCCCUUACGCCUUGGGCCACACACGUAAUACAAUGGCCGGUACAGAGGGCAGCUACCUAGCGAUAGGAUGCAAAUCUCGAAAGCCGGUCUCAGUUCGGAUUGGAGUCUGCAA